CGUGGGCGGAAUCAUUCAAUCAUCGAUUUCUUCCCCAAACCUAGCCUCCUCCACUGCUCCCAACCUGCCUUCCGUCGCCGCCGCCUACCCUCGACUACUGAUCUACCUUUCUCCGUCGGCGGCCGCGGGUGCCCAGCGCAACCGCACCCUCUCCUCUCCAGCAGCGGCGACCCCUCGCCUCAUACCCUUUCCUGGGCAAGGCCGGGAGGGGAUCAAUCUAGGGUUUCCGCCGCCGCCGGUUCCCCGGACGUUGCUGCAUGACGAUGGAAGAUGGAAGCUGUCCUUCACCAGUCACCCCCAGCGAAGCCGAAGCUGGAGCCGAAGAUUACGAAUCUUGGACACUGAAGCAGAAGAUUGAGGAUCUCGUCAACUGUGAUCCUAUCCAUGGUAUCGUGCCAAAAAAUCCUAAAUAUAAAGCAUAUUUCGAGGAAAAGUUCCAGGAGAAGUUAAGUAAGUACGUCCGUGUUGUAUUGCCGAAACUUCGUCCAGCAAUUCAGAAGGAUAGCGUCAAGCAAUUCUUUCAAGUCUACAAUUGUUGGUCAGGUUUCAUGGGACGGGGAAACUUCCUUUUACCUGAUAUCCUCACCAACAUGGCCAACGAGAACGCUCUGCGUUGUGCCAGGGUCGCACUCCAGGGCACCUCUCCUCUGUUGCGUCGCCGCCGCGCUGACCCCAACACCCGCCACCGCUAUGGCUUCGCCCCCCUACACAUGGCUGCCGAGAACUUCAGCGUCGACAUGGUCAAACUCCUCUUCCGUUACGGCGCAUCGGCGAACAUCUGCACCAAGGGCGAGUAUGUCAUUGAGGGCCUCCUCCCUCUCCAUGUUGCUGUCGAGAAUGCCAGCAUGCACAAGUACAUUGAGGAUCAUUGGGCUCAUGGGGACCAUAUCAUCAACCUCAUCUUCCUCCUUUGUCUUCCUGAGAUGAAAAUGUUCUUGGACACGACUAGAUUAAUUGCCAAACAGACAGAUAACAUUGUCGACGAGGUAUGGAAUUACAUUCGUGAAGAAAAGCAUGUCCAGGCAGCAAUUUUGCUGCUGGCUGCUCAAAAGCAGCUCCGUGGCCGCCUUAACAACAGCAGUGGCAAAGCCUCUCUGAACGGGUUUGAUAUUGUUAAAAGCCACAUUGAUGAUGCUCUUAACACCAUACAUCUUGAGGGGUUAAAUAUGGUUAAGGAGGGAAAGAAUGGCAGGGCACUAAAGAGAUUGAAAGACAAGAAGGAAGCCCUUCUUACAGCACUUGUACUAGUUGGCAUUGUUCACAAAGCCGGUGAAGCUCUUGAGGGAUACAUUCAAACUCAUUCACAGGUGCGCCAUGACGAAAUUGUUGAACAUGUUUCAUCAAUUCUAAAAAGCAAUGGCAUUGCUCAUUCUGGGGAAAGCAUUGACACUGGAAAACUUGAAUGCUACCAACAUGGUGGGGGGAUGUCGAUUGGCAAGUCAGAUUCACAAAGAGUGGGCUAUGGGGAAACUAUUGAAGCGGACAAGUCAUCUUCUGAUAUAGGCGAAGUUAGUAAAAUGAUCCUGGGAAAGCAACCACCUAAAGGAUCAGCCAUACGCGAAGUGAGAGAUAUGUUCUUCCCAUACUGGAAAUCGGUGUUGUCUCGACGGUUGCAGCUAAAGAUAGUUCCAUCCUGUCAACUAAGCAGGAAGGACUUGCUAAGUGCUGAAGCGAGCACGAAGGGGACCAAGAGUAUGGACCACCCGUGUAACCCAAUCAAAUCAAUGGGAAAUCUUGGUUCGAUGGGCUGGCCCCCAUUGUCAAGUGAGUCCAGAAGGAUGCUUUAUACUGUUGCUUCAAUGUCCCGGAAGGUGUUUAAGCGCACUUGACUACAGAAAAUCUUUGGCGCUUCAUCUAUUCUUGUUGCCGAUUUUUGGUCAUGUUCCUCCAAUUUUGAAGGUUUUGGAUUGGCAACCAUGUGGACAUGUUUGUUUUCCUCGAACUCUGAAGGUUUUAAGCUGGCCACGAACGAAUUGGAAGCAUUUGAGCCGGCCACGAAUGGAUUGGAAGCAGUAGCGGACAUAUUGCGCUUGCCGUGGGAACAUUGCGGACUCUUCGCGAUCCGGACGUACACGGGGAAGAAGGGAAUCUGACAAAAAUACAUGCACGGGAACAAAAGCUAGACGACGGGCAAAAAAAAUUCCUGGAAGCUUUAAGUAUUUUUUAUGCAGGUUGCUUUCACAUCUUGGGAUCAACUUACAAUCAGUUAGACCUUCCAGUUCAUGAUGAGAGAUAAUCACGGAGGGGAGAUUUUCAAUAAAGGAUGUCGCUGCUGGUGGAGCUCCUCUUCUGGAAUCGUUGUCCUCAGCAAAUUGCUCAAGGAGCAUCUCAAACUGCCUUGCAUCAACAUAGUCAUCUGGAUUCCCGACAAAAGUUGUCCUCAUUUCUGGCUCUUCCAUGUCAUCUAGCAAGUUGGUCACAUUUGCUCUUUGACGUACACUCACACUCCAAUUCCAUACACCAUCUUCAGAUUCGUCCUCACUCAAUCCACUUAGCUGAAUAUCAUGUGAUUGCUGCUGGUGCUGGGUCAUGGUGUUGACUAUUUCAUCAAAACCAGACUCUUCCACAUCUUCCUGGUCAUCUGAAUCCCACUGAUCCAGUCUAGCAUUCAUGGGAUCAAUAUCAGUAUCUGUGUUCAUGUAGCUGUCAUUGUCAAGUUGAAUGGAAAUCCUCCUCCUUGUCAUCA